GUGGAGAGGCGUCUCGUUCUCUCUGAUGGUUGGGAAGUUCCUGUUCUUCCAUUAAAACCCGAGGACUGGGAAACGGGGAAGAAGAGAGAGAAAGCCAAGGCAAAAGAAGGAUCCCAAGAAAACCUAGAGAGAAAAUAGAGAUUGGGAUUAAUGAGCAGUAGCAGAGCGAAGAAUUUCCGCCGCCGUUCCGAUGACAGCGAUGCUAAUGGAGAGGAGAAGUCCACCCCAGCUCCCCCCGCCGCCAUAACGUCCACCUCUACAACCAGUAGGAGGCAAACCCUGAGCCUAACAAAACCCAAAAGCUCGAAACCUGAGAGCUCGAAACCCGGGGGACCCAAGCGCCUUAGCUUCGCAGAUGAUGAUGAGGAGGAGGAGGGGGCGCCCAUGGCAGCCUCUCGCCAGCUAUCCAAACCCGUUCCCUCCAUCCAUAAGCUUUCCUCUGCUAAGGAACGCUCAAAAACCUCAUCUUUGGUCCCUUCCAUCCCCUCCAAUGUUCAGCCGCAGACUGGUGAGUACACCAAGGAGAGACUCCUCGAGCUUCAGAAGAAUGCCCGCCCUCUUGGGAGCAUGCCUCGGCCUAAGCCGGCCCCCUCCUUCUCUGAGCCGCCCAAACCCCAGAAGAGUGACCCUCCUGCCGAACCUGUUAUCAUCCUUAAAGGCCUCGUGAAACCGGCCUCCACUACAACCCCUGGGCAGGAAGGUGAGAAGGAAGCUGCAUCGAAGCGGCGGGAAGAGGAAGAUGAGGAGGAUGCGGUGGAUGAAGAUGGAGAGAGGGGCCAUGCAGAGAAGGGGAGAAGCUUGCCGGUGAUACCUGAUCGGGCGACAAUUGAUGCUAUUCGGGCCAAGAGAGCACAGCUCCAACAGCCACGUCAUUCUGCAUCAGAUUACAUUUCGCAUGAUGGCGGGAUGAUGAGUGGCCACCCUUUGGCAGGUGGAUCCAGUGACGAAGAGGAGAAUGAUUUCCAGGGAAGGGUUGCUUUGUUUGGAGGCAAGAUGGAUGGUAGGCCAAAGAAGGGUGUUUUUGAGAGUAAGGAGGAGAGGGUUGCUGUAGCUGAGGCAAAGGUUGUUGAUGCUGGAUGUAGAGAGGUGGCUGAUGAUGAUGAUGAGGAUGAGGAGGAGAGGAAAUGGGAAGAGGAGCAGUUCAGAAAGGGUUUAGGAAGGAGAAUUGAUGAGCCAUCAACUCAUAGAGGGGUUAAUAGCAUUCCAACAAUUCCACCCAUCCAGCCACAGGUUUCUAUUUACUCAGGUGCUUCUCUUCAGUCUUCAAUGAGCAAUGUGUCUCUUGGGCCAGCUUCUGUUGCAGUCUCACGGAGUGCAGAGGUCAUGUCCAUUCCCCAACAGGCUGAGGUUGCCACCCGAGCUCUGCAAGAGAGCAUCACUAAGCUAAAGGAAACCCACAACAUAACUCUGAACUCGUUGGUUAGGACUGAUACACAUCUCUCCGAGGCACUCUCUGAAAUAACCUCUUUGGAGAGAUCUCUGAAAGCUGCUGAUGAGAAGUAUGUCUUCAUGCAACAGCUCCGUGACUUCAUUUCAGUGAUGUGUGAUUUCUUACAUGACAAGGCCUAUUUCAUUGAGGAGCUCGAAGAGCAGAUGCAGACGCUUCAUGAGCAGCGGGCUUUCGCUAUUGAAGAAAGAAGAGCUUUUGAUAUUGCUGAUGAAGCUAAUGAAGUGGAAGCUGCUGUAAAUGCAGCGAUAUCAGUUCUCCAUAAAGGCACUUCACCUGCUUAUAUUUCUGCAGCGACAACUGCAGCACAAGCUGCUGCUGCUGCUGCUCGAGAAAGUUCCAGUUUAUCAGUUGAAUUGGACGAGUUUGGUAGGGAUGUCAACCUAAAGAAGCGCAUGGAAUUUACCCAGAGGGCUGAAGCCAGAAAGAGAAGGAAAGUUCAAUCUGAAUCUAAAAGAAUGUCAUCAAUUGGGAAGGAUAAUGCAUUAGAGCAAAUUGAAGGAGAGUUGAGCACCGAUGAGAGUGACAGUGAGAGUAGUGCAUAUGAGUCUAGCCACAAUGAGCUGCUACGAACUGCUGAACAGAUUUUUAGUGAUGCAUCUGAGGAGUACUCCAACCUUAAAAUUGUCAAGGAAAGGUUUGAAAGAUGGAAGAAUCAGUAUUCCUCGACUUACCGGGAUGCUUAUGUGUCGCUAAGUGCGCCAGCUGUUUUCUCCCCAUAUGUGAGACUGGAACUUCUGAAGUGGGACCCUCUCUAUGACACAACAGACUUCUUUGACAUGGAGUGGCAUAAGCUGUUAUUUAAUUAUGGAUUGCCAGGGAAAGAUCGUGAUUUUGAUCCUGAUGAUGCUGAUGCUAAUCUUAUUCCAGAACUAGUGGAAAAGGUAGCGCUUCCCAUUUUACACCAUGAAAUUGCACACUGUUGGGACAUGCUAAGCACCCAAAUGACCAAAAAUGUGGUCUUUGCCACAAAUAUGGUAAUUAACUAUGUUCCAGCUUCUAGUAAGGCACUACAUGAAUUGUUGGCUGUUGUUCAUAGUCGUUUGACAGAGGCUAUCACCAGCCUCAGCGUGCCUGCUUGGGGUACAGUUGUGACAAAUGCUGUGCCAGGUGCUGCACAACUUGUGGCGUAUAGGUUUGGUAUGUCUGUUCGUUUGCUCAGAAAUAUUUGCUUAUGGAAAAGCAUUCUUGCAGUGCCAGUCUUAGAGAAGCUUGCUCUUGAAGAACUCUUGAGGGGGAAACUUCUGCCUCAUGUUCGAAGUAUCAUGUCCAAUAUUCAUGAUGCUAUUACAAGGACAGAAAGGAUAGUUGCAUCAUUAUCAGGGGUUUGGACAGGUCUUGAGAUUACUUUAGAACCCGGUCAGAAGCUUUGGCCUCUGGUGGAUUGCAUUGCAGAGUUAGGAAAUAAGUUGGAGAAGCGGCAUUUAUCAGGUGUGAGCGAGGAGGAUACCCGUGGGCUUGCUCGUCGUUUAAAGAAUAUGCUGGUUGCUCUUCAUGAGUAUGACAAAGCUAGAGCUAUGUCGAGGACCUUUCAGCUUAAAGAGGCACUCUGAGGCUGAGCUGACAUUCUUGACCUUUUAAACCAAGCUUGUCCUUUCAGAAAGCUGAAGCCUGGGUUCUGAAGCUUCGGUUAUUAGAACAUUGUACUUUACAGAGAAGGAUGCAUCAUCCUUGUACACAUCCAGUCUGAUUUAGCACAUACCGAUGGAUCGCUUAGUAAUUUCUCAUCUAGAUGAGUGGUUAAAUAAUCUUGAUCAGUAAGGCUUUUCAGCUUGAGCAAAACGAGAAGACCAUCUCAAAAGUGGUUACAGGGAUAAAAUCUGAAGCGUUAUCUAAGUUUCUCUUUCCCAGUGAUAGCCCUUGCUGACAAGGACUAUUUUGCCAUUGCGGACAGUGCAAGAGGAUCCUAAAGUAUUCUUUGGACCUGUAGAACUAUGAACAACAGGUAUCUAUAGGUGGCUCUUCUUACAAGUCAUACGAACAAGAACAUUCAGAUAGCUCAUGAGUGAAUAUAAUAAUGGCUCUUCUUGUAAGUCAUAUCAACAAGAACAUUCAGAUAGCUCCAUUCAAUUGAUUUGAAUCAGAUUGUAUCAUGAGUAAAUAUAAUAAGUCCUGAACCUACUUGUUCUGUAUUUUUUCUGUGCAGCAUUGGGAGAACUGUCUUAUUUUUAUUGCCAGAUCUUUCUUUUUAUUGGCUUUUUUUUAGUUUGAGAUUUUGAGUUCCAGAAGCCCUGUUCUCUUUAUAUUGGACCCUUCUUCUAUAAUGAAAGUAUAUUCCCAGAAA